rnacentral:rRNA from 2 species
GCUCUAGUACGGCGAGUGAAGCAGCAAUAGCUCAAAUUUGAAAUCUGGCGUCUUCGGCGUCCGAGUUGUAAUUUGUAGAGGAUGCUUCUGGGCAGCCACCGACCUAAGUUCCUUGGAACAGGACGUCAUAGAGGGUGAGAAUCCCGUAUGCGGUCGGAAAGGCACCCUACACGUAGCUCCUUCGACGAGUCGAGUUGUUUGGGAAUGCAGCUCUAAAUGGGAGGUAAAUUUCUUCUAAAGCUAAAUAUUGGCCAGAGACCGAUAGCGCACAAGUAGAGUGAUCGAAAGAUGAAAAGCACUUUGGAAAGAGAGUUAAAAAGCACGUGAAAUUGUUGAAAGGGAAGGGAUUGCAACCAGACUUGCUCGCGGUGUUCCGCCGGUCUUCUGACCGGUCUACUCGCCGCGUUGCAGGCCAGCAUCGUCUGGUGCCGCUGGAUAAGACUUGAGGAAUGUAGCUCCCUCGGGAGUGUUAUAGCCUCUUGUGAUGCAGCGAGCGCCGGGCGAGGUCCGCGCUUCGGCUAGGAUGCUGGCGUAAUGGUUGUAAUCCGC